rnacentral:rRNA from 1 species
CCGAUGGCGACCGGCGCACGGGUGAGUAACACGUAUCCAACCUGCCGAUAACUCGGGGAUAGCCUUUCGAAAGAAAGAUUAAUAUCCGAUAGGAUAUCAAGGUCGCAUGAUCUUGAUAUUAAAGAAUUUCGGUUAUCGAUGGGGAUGCGUUCCAUUAGUUAGUUGGCGGGGUAACGGCCCACCAAGACGACGAUGGAUAGGGGGUUCUGAGAGGAAGGUCCCCCACAUUGGAACUGAGACACGGUCCAAACUCCUACGGGAGGCAGCAG